UACGGAGGGGGCUAGCGUUUUUCGGAAUUACUGGGCGUAAAGCGCGCGUAGGCGGACCUGCAAGUCGGGGGUGAAAGCCCGGGGCUCAACCUCGGAACUGCCUUCGAUACUGCGGGUCUCGAGUCCGGGAGAGGUGAGUGGAAUUCCUAGUGUAGAGGUGAAAUUCGGAGAUAUUAGGAAGAACACCAGUGGCGAAGGCGGCUCACUGGCCCGGUACUGGCGCUGAGGCGCGAAAGCGUUGGGAGCAAACAGG
rnacentral:rRNA from 1 species